rnacentral:rRNA from 1 species
GAUGAACGCUGGCGGCGUGCUUAACACAUGCAAGUCGAACGGAAAGGCCCAAGCUUGCUUGGGUACUCGAGUGGCGAACGGGUGAGUAACACGUGGGUGAUCUGCCCUGCACUUCGGGAUAAGCCUGGGAAACUGGGUCUAAUACCGGAUAGGACGAUGGUUUGGAUGCCAUUGUGGAAAGUUUUUUCGGUGUGGGAUGAGCUCGCGGCCUAUCAGCUUGUUGGUGGGGUAAUGGCCUACCAAGGCGUCGACGGGCAGCCGGCCUGAGAGGGUGUACGGCCACAUUGGGACUGAGAUACGGCCCAGACUCCUACGGGAGGCAGCAGUGGGGAAUAUUGCGCAAUGGGCGCAGGCCUGAUGCAGCGACGCCGCGUGGGGGAUGACGGCCUUCGGGUUGUAAACUCCUUUCGCUAGGGACGAAGCGUUUUUGUGACGGUACCUGGAGAAGAAGCACCGGCUAACUACGUG